rnacentral:lncRNA from 1 species
AAACACAUGAAUCUUACUGUUCAAUCACCCACUUCCCACACGCAACACUAGCUCAUGGGUAGCACAGAUAACUUUACCAAAGUUCUCUGCCAAAAUUGAGCACGUAAAGCUUGCAGCUCCCACUACAUCGCUCUGACCAAGAAGGGUAAAAGAAUAGCAAAGAAACAGCACUAACAAAGUUUAGACCCAUAAAUUUUGAAGGUCUAGCUACCAUAUUAUUACCCACAAGGGUAAAGGAACAAGUACACUGCUGGAUAAUUGGAAAGUCCCUGUGUGUCAACCUCUGUGCUUCGUGGCAAGGUAGACUAGUAAACAUGCCCAACCUUUACUCACAUUCGAGAAAACACUCCCAAUAAGAUUGCUUGCUCCAAAAUCGAAGAGGCACCGUCCUCCGAAUCUCGAGAGCCAGACUCCCAACAUGACUACUUUCUUAAAAAUCGAAGAGAGGGUAAAGGAACAGUACCAUUGCUGGAUAAUUGGAAAAGUCCCUGUGUGUCAACCUCUGUGCUUCGUGGCAAGGUAGACUAGCAAACAUGCCCAACCUUUACUCACAUUCGAGAAA